rfam:Trichosporon oleaginosus strain IBC0246 unplaced genomic scaffold CC85scaffold_3, whole genome shotgun sequence.
AUCGCGAUAGCUUAGUGGAAGAGCGCGAGGCUCAUAUGGAUUCGUCCAAAUGACACCUCGAGGUCGGAGGAUCGAGACCUCCUCGCGAUA